UCCACAAGUGAACUUUCUAGAACUCAUAGGGAGGGAGGUUUGAAGGUGGGAGCUCAUAGCCAAAAGAAACACAACUAGCAAACACGAUUAGCACACUCUCUUAUUACACUCUAGCUUCUCUAGGCCUAUCUCAACUCCUUUUGUCCCUACACUCGUCAUCAAGCAUCCACACAUUCAAAUCAACCAACUCUCACAUUCAUUA
rnacentral:lncRNA from 1 species